rnacentral:tRNA from 1 species
GCGGGAAUAGCUCAGUUGGUAGAGCGCAACCUUGCCAAGGUUGAGGUCAAAUCUCCAUAA